rnacentral:rRNA from 1 species
CAGCCGCCGCGGUAAUACGUAGGUGGCAAGCGUUGUCCGGAAUUAUUGGGCGUAAAGGGCUCGCAGGCGGUUUCUUAAGUCUGAUGUGAAAGCCCCCGGCUCAACCGGGGAGGGUCAUUGGAAACUGGGAAACUUGAGUGCAGAAGAGGAGAGUGGAAUUCCACGUGUAGCGGUGAAAUGCGUAGAGAUGUGGAGGAACACCAGUGGCGAAGGCGACUCUCUGGUCUGUAGCUGACGCUGAGGAGCGAAAGCGUGGGGAGCGAACAGGAUUAGAUACCCCCGUAGUCCCUGUCUCUUAUAC